rnacentral:rRNA from 1 species
UGGGGAAUAUUGCACAAUGGGCGAAAGCCUGAUGCAGCAACGCCGCGUGAGUGAUGAAGGUCUUCGGAUUGUAAAGCUCUGUCUUUUGGGACGAUAAUGACGGUACCAAAGGAGGAAGCCACGGCUAACUACGUGCCAGCAGCCGCGGUAAUACGUAGGUGGCGAGCGUUGUCCGGAUUUACUGGGCGUAAAGGGUGCGUAGGCGGAUGUUUAAGUGAGAUGUGAAAUACCCGGGCUUAACUUGGGUGCUGCAUUUCAAAGCUGGAUAUCUAGAGUGCAGGAGAGGAGAAUGGAAUUCCUAGUGUAGCGUGAAAUGCGUAGAGAUUAGGAAGAACACCAGUGGCGAAGGCGAUUCUCUGGACUGUAACUGACGCUGAGGCACGAAAGCGUGGGUAGCAAACAGGAUUAGAUACCCUGGUAGUCCACGCCGUAAACGAUGAGUACUAGGUGUAGGAGGUAUCGACCCCUUCUGUG